rnacentral:rRNA from 1 species
CACGUAGGGGGCGAGCGUUGUCCGGAUUCAUUGGGCGUAAAGGGCGCGCAGGCGGCCCGGAAAGUCGGAUGUGAAAACUCGAGGCUCAACCUCGAGCGUGCACCCGAUACUGCCGGGCUUGAGGCAGGUAGGGGAGAUCGGAAUUCCUGGUGUAGCGGUGAAAUGCGCAGAUAUCAGGAGGAACACCGGUGGCGAAGGCGGGUCUCUGGGCCGUAACUGACGCUGAGGAGCGAAAGCGUGGGGAGCGAACAGG